GGGGAUUUAGCUCAGUGGUAGAGCGCUUACCUAGGAAGCGCAAGGCCCUGGGUUCGAUCCCCAGCUCCG
rfam:Rattus norvegicus chromosome X, whole genome shotgun sequence.